rnacentral:lncRNA from 10 species
AGCAGGAAGUUCAGACCUAAGACGCUGCAUCCUGGACAUUCUGCCCCCUGAAGAUAUUGCAGCCUGAACAGUGUCAACAGCAGUGACUCCCGGUCCAGCGGCUCCCACUCGCAUUCCCCCAGCUCACAUUACCGCUACCGCAGCUCCAACCUGGCCCAGCAGGCUCCUGUGAGGCUGUCCAGCGUGUCCUCCCAUGACUCAGGAUUCAUAUCCCAGGAUGCCUUCCAGUCCAAGUCACCAUCCCCCAUGCCGCCAGAGGCCCCCAACCAGUUGUCUAACGGGUUUUCUCACUAUAGUUUAUCAAGUGAGUCCCACGUGGGGCCCACGGGUGCAGGCCUUUUCCCUCAUUGCCUGCCUGCCUCCCGCCUGCUCCCUCGGGUCACCUCUGUCCACCUUCCAGACUACGCUCAUUAUUACACCAUUGGGCCCGGCAUGUUCCCGUCAUCUCAGAUCCCUAGCUGGAAGCGCCGCAAAGAGAAGCGAGAACCGGACCCCAACGGGGGAGGACCCACUACCGCCAGCGGCCCACCUGCAGCAGCUGAGGAGGCUCAGAGACCAC